rnacentral:rRNA from 1 species
UACGGAGGGUGCAAGCGUUAUCCGGAUUUACUGGGCGUAAAGCGAGUGUAGGCGGUUUGGUAAGUCGGAUGUGAAAGCCCCGGGCUCAACCCGGGAAGUGCACUCGAUACUGCCAGGCUAGAGUAUCGGAGAGGUUGGUGGAAUUCUCGGUGUAGAGGUGAAAUUCGUAGAUAUCGAGAGGAACACCGGUGGCGAAGGCGGCCAACUGGACGAAUACUGACGCUGAGACUCGAAAGCGUGGGGAGCAAACAGG